UACGUAGGCGGAAAAUUAAGUCAGUAGUGAAAUCCUGCAGCUUAACUGUAGAACUGUUAUUGAUACUGGUUUCUUGAAUAUAGUUGAGGUAGGCGGAAUGUGUAAUGUAGCGGUGAAAUGCUUAGAUAUUACACAGAACACCGAUUGCGAAGGCAGCUUACUAAGCUAUGAUUGACGCUGAGGUACGAAAGCGUGGGGAGCGAACAGGAUUAGAUACCCUGGUAGUCC
rnacentral:rRNA from 1 species